rnacentral:rRNA from 1 species
AGUUCGAUUAUGGCUCAGAUUGAACGCUGGCGGGAUGCUUUACAUGCAAGUCGAACGGCAGCAUCGGACUUCGGUCUGGUGGCGAGUGGCGAACGGGUGAGUAAUGUAUCGGAACGUGCCUAGUAGCGGGGGAUAACUACGCGAAAGUGCAGCUACCGCAUACGCCCUUCGGGGGAAGCGGUAUCCUUCGGGCCUUCGCACUAUUAGAGCGGCCGAUACUGGAUUAGCGCACAGGGUAAACGGGUCACCGCUGCGACGAUCCGUAGCUGGUUUGAGGACGACCAGCCACACUGGGACUGGAGACAGGCCCAGACUCCUACGGGAGGUGAGUGGGGAAUUUUGGAUAAUGGGGAAACCCUGAUCCAGCCACCCCGCGUGUGCGAUGGGCGGCCUUCGGGUUGUAAAAGCACUUUUGGCAGGAAAGAAACGGCACGGGAUAAUACCGUGCAACUGACGGUACCUGCAGAAUAAGCACCGCUAACCACGCCAGGCCAGCAGCCGCGGUAAUACGUAGGGUGCAAGCGUUAAUCGGAAUUACUGGGCGCAAGCGUGCAGGCGGUUCGGAAAGAAAGAUGUGAAAUCCAGAGCUUAACUUUGGAACUGCAUUUUUAACUACCGAGCUAGAGUGUGUCAGAGGGAGGUGAACCCGCGUAGCAGUGAAAUGGGUGAUAUGCGGAGGAACACCGAUGGCGAAGGCAGCCUCCCUGGGAUAACACUGACGCUCAUGCACGAAAGCGUGGGGAGCAAACAGAUUAGAUACCCUGGUAGUCCACGCCUCAACGAUGUCAACUAGGCUGGGUUGGGCCUGGCCUGGGGAAAAGUGGUGCCACGCGAAGUUGACCGCCUGGGGAGUACGGUCGCAAGAUUAAAACUCAAAGGAAUUGACGGGGACUGCACAUGUACGAUGUGGAUUAAUUCGAUGCAACGCGAAAAACCUUACCUACCUCUUGAUAUUAAAUCUGGAAUCCCGAAGAGAUUCGAGUGCUCGCAAGAGAACCGGAACACAGGUGCUGCAUGGCUGCUGCCGGGUGCCCGUGUCGUGAGAGGUUAAGUCCCGCAACGAGCGCAACCCUGUCAUUAGUUGCUACGAAAGGGCACGAAUGAGACUGCCGGUGACAAACCGGAGGAAGGUGGGGAUGACGUCAAGUCCUCAUGGCCCUUAUGGGUAGGGCUUCACACGUCAUACAAUGGUCGGGACAGAGGGUCGCUAACCCGCGAGGGGGAGCCAAUCCCAGAAACCCGAUCGUAGUCCGGACUGCAGUCUGCAACUCGACUGCGUGAAGCCGGAAUCGCUAGUAAUCGCGGAUCAGCAUGUCGCGGUGAAUACGUUCCCGGGUCUUGUACACACCGCCCGUCACACCAUGGGAGUGGGUUUUACCAGAAGUAGUUAGCCUAACCGUAAGGAGUGGCGAUUACCACGGUAGGAUUCAUGACUGGGGUGAAGUCGUGGUCAUGUA